rnacentral:rRNA from 1 species
AUUGAACGCUGGCGGAAGGCUUAACACAUGCAAGUCGAACGAGUGGCGGACGGGUGGGUAAUGUCUGGGAAACUGCCUGAUGGAGGGAGAUAACCACUGGAAACGGUAGCUAAUACCGCAUACCAUCAGAUGUGCCCGUAGGGGAUUAGAUAGUUGGUGGGGUAACCGCACAACAAGGCGACGAUACCUAGCUGGUGUGAGAGGAUGACCAGCCAGACUGGAACGGAGACACGGUCCAGCGUCCUACGGGAGGCGGCAGUGGUGAAUAUUGCACAAUGGGUGCAAGCCUGAUGCAGCCAUGCCGCGUGUAUGAAGAAGGCCUUCGGGUUGUAAAGUACUUUCAGCGGGGAUGCGUUACCCGCAGAAGAAGCACCGGCUAACUCCGUGCCAGCAGCCGCGGUAAUAC